UGCUGACAAAGUUUCCAACAAAUAUGGAAACCUGUUCACUUCUUUCCUCCACUAUGUCUUACCCUUGUUUUACAUUUUUAACCACUUUUGUAUAAUGAAGAAUGAAGUAGAAUCCUUAAUAAAUCUCAACUACCCUAUAGUAAUUCACAGCUGUAAUAUAGCAGGGGUAUAGGGUGGCGGAGGAGCAGUGUUUGUUAGGUACAGAGACAGUAUCCUUAAUUAGGGGUGGACAAAAUAGCACCGUCCGAUGCAAUCCGUCCGAUCCGAAUCAAAUUUGAGGCAACGGGUCGGGUGAUUUCGGGUUAAGGGUUGAAACGGGCCAUCAAUUUGGGUAACAUCGGUUGAUUUUGGUCGGUUUCGGUUGACAAUAUUUGGUCCGUCGGAAUCCGAAUCCGACCGAAUCUUCACACUUGAAAACUGGAUUUUAGUUACUUUGGCCCAAGCUAGCCCUCAAUCCAUGGCCCAAAUUAAAUAUUUAUAAGGUUAUAACCACCAUUCUCAAAUUAGGGUUGCCGUUCUGAAUCAGAUUAGGGUUACCGCCGUGUUCUCAAACUCCACCACUCCACCGUUUUCAUGAAGCGUUACUGCCUUCACUCAGAAGUUCGCCAUCCGUUUCUGCAUCUCUCAACUCCGCCUUGAUUCUUGAUUAACUUUCUCAGCAUCUCUCUUGCAAAGGUGUCAUGUGUGUAGGACCAAAAAAUAGAGAAGACCAUCUCUGUCCUGUCUAAAGCUGAUCUUGAAAUAACUCAUAAAUUUGCAGAACUAGAAGGUAUGAUGAAUCUUGCUAACUACUUAGCCUUAGCCCUUGGUCCCUUUUCUCUUUUGUUUUAUAUGGAACUGAGAUAUUAUAAUUUUGCAAUAUAUAAGUCAUAUGCAUAUACUGUCUCUUAGUUGUUAGUUUUUUUUUUAUAGUUCUUUGUACUCUGGUAACACACAUAGUAAAAAUAUUGCAGAUUAUGAGUUUUCAACGGCCUGAAGAAAUGUUAUUAUAUAUAUGAUUCUGUUCUGAUUUGGAUUAUUUGGAAUUGAGAGAAGACAUAUUGAAGUCUAUUAAUAUCAAAAUAAAAUUUGAAGAGGAAAAAAGAAAGUUGAAAAGAUUAUAAUCAAAAAGAUUAUAUUCAAGAAAUAGAAUAUAAAUUAUCACAAUUAGAUGAAGCAUCUCAUGAGAACACAAACAUCAAAUAUGGACAAAUAUUGUUAUUUAGACUUGAUAAACAUUUUUAGUUGUCGAAUUUUUGAAUGAUAAAAGAUAAAUAAUUUUGUUUUUUAAUGGAAGAAUUAUAAUAGCCUAAUUUUUUAAAUAAAAAACUGAACAAAAAUCAUUCCAUUUUUAAAUUUUAAAAUGUAUUUAAAAAAUCAAUGAUUUAAGUUGGGCUAUAAUUUAUACUAGCCCAAGUAAUUAAUUGGCUGAACAUUAAAUAAAAAUUUGACUAAUUUUAAAAUUGGGCUUAAAAUAUGGCUCAAUAAUACCUAACCGAAAUAAACCGAUCUAAUAAACCGAAUCGAAUUUAACCGAACCCGAAAAAACCGAAAAUAAAAAAUGGUCGGAAUUGGGCCAGCAUAACUCACCCGAGGGUUGGGCCGGAUUAAGGUUUUGGGCCCGAACCCGAUCCGGCCCGAACCGAUGUCCACCCCUAUCCUUAAUAAUGUUACAUGAAUUUAGUCAAUCAAUUUUUUUUGAAAGAAAAGAAAGGGAAUGAAUGGAGGAUUGAGUGGAAUCUAAGGUACGGCUGAAUGAGGACAAUAUGUAUGGUGAGGUAAAUAAGGAUUUUGAUUAAUUGAUUGGAAGGCCAUUUUGGUGAGAAACUUAAAGUGUGUUUGGUUUAGCGGUGGUUUAUUUUAAAAUUACGGUACAUUUUCGCGUUUGACAUAAAGGUACCUUUUGUAGCUUUUAAAAACCACGUUAAAAAGGUUCUGCGACGCACGUUUGAUGGCUGAAAAGCCAAACCAUACAGACAUUUAAAGGUGUUUGGGACUUUGGGUUGAGUUUACUUACUACUAUUUCUAUGUAUUUAUUGAUAACUUUGGUGGCUAUUUAAUUUUAAAGUUAUUAAAUAAUUAAUGCAUUUGACUUUAAAAUAGAUUAUGUACAUCAAUUAUUUAAUAAAACUCUAGAUCAUGUACAUCAAUUAUUUGACUUUAAGUUA